UGAAGUAUAAUUCUCAAUUAGAGACAGUGAAGAUAAUGAUAUGUCAAGAGAAGACUUACCAUUGGGAAGAAUAUGAUAGUAAUCUUCUUGUUUUUCUUUGGGGUCUAUUGGGUCAACCAAGGAUAAUUCUGUGGCCAUAUGAUAUCUAUCAUAACCUAGACGCAUGGCCUCCCAUGUACGAAGGUUUCCUUGAGCACUUCUCAAAGAUUUUAGUUUCUAAAACAGUUUUUGACUAUACCUUUAUGUAAGGUGUCACUGUGAGGUGCUGUCUACGGUUGGGACAUGUGUCACAUUUGGUAUAUAUUUGUAUCCAAACUCACAGCAUAUGUGUUGUUGUAUUUUUUACGAUAAUUGUUGUAAUAAAAUUGUAGUUAUUUUCUGUACCAUGUAUUUGACGACUCAAAAUAGAUUGGAUGGAAUGGACCUAUUUUA
rnacentral:lncRNA from 1 species